CAAAAGAUUUAGCAGUCAUGUCUUCAGAGUCCUGGAAGGAAAAGAGAAAGAGGGCAGGGCUGAAAAAGUACUUGAAGAAAUAAUAGCUGACAACUCCUCAAAUUUGGCAGAAGACAUAAAUUUAUAGAUUUAAGAGACAUAGUGAAUUCCAAACGGGAUACAUUGAAAGAAAUCCAUACCAUGACACAGCACAAACUUCUGAAAACUAGAUUUAUAAAUCUUGAAAGAAUCAAGAUAGAAAUGACACUUCGCUUAUAAGGGAAAACAAUUAGAAGGACAGCAAAUUUGUCAUCUGAAACCAUGGAAGCCAAGAAAAAAGUGGCACAACAUUUUCAAAUGCUCUUCAAAGAACUGUCAACCUCAACUUCUAUACCCAGUGAAAAUCUUCUUCAGGAAUGAAGGGCAAAUUAAAACAUUCUCAGAUGAAGGAAAACUAAGCGAAUCUGUUAUCAGAAGACGAGUCCUAUAAAAACGGAUAAAAGAAGUUCUCUAAACACAAAAGAAAUGAAAAAAGAAGAAAUCUUGAAACAUCAAAAGGAAGAAAAACUGAAAGGCGCAUGAUUAUAAACGGUGAACAUCUGGAAAUAUAAACACUACAUGGUGAAUGGUGGUUACUUCCAGAGAUGGGACAGAGCUGGAGAGAGAUGAAGUUGGAAAGAAGUGAGGAAUGGGAGAUCUUAUAAACGAUGCAGAAAUACACAAAGUAAAAGACUACGUGUUUUACUUAUUUCUACUUCUAUUGUUCCAAAAGAGGAUCUUCCUUAUCUUUGUGAUUUCUAAAAACUGUAAUACAAUAUUACUUAUCCUAAAAAAAGCAAAUACAUACAUAUAUAAAGGAAUACCCUCAUGUCUACAUUCUAGUCUCCUGAAAGACAGGAAGUGGAGGAGUCUUAUGUCACAAACACAGAGCGGUGAGCAAGUUACCGCAGCACCCAGCCCCCCCGGGGGCGUCGCACUUUCCAGCUGUAAGAUCUCUCUGCUUCCCAGGUUGUCUCUGAAUAGACGCUGGUCAACUUCAGGUUGGAAAACGCAUGUUACACGUGAAACAAGUCCAGGUAGCUUUAAAAAGUCUUCAAUUCUUAAAAUAGCUUGUAAAAAUCAUAUUACGUGAAUAAUAUCUACAUAUUUGUGAAUCCUUCUCUCUCCCCACCUCCCCUUCCCUUCUGUCACGAAGCGGAGGGCAAGGCAUUUUUACAG
rnacentral:lncRNA from 1 species